AGCGAACGUUAGCGGCGGGCCUAACACAUGCAAGUCGAGCGCGAAAGGUCUUCGGACUGAGUAGAGUGGCGCACGGGUGAGUAACACGUAGGUAAUCUACCCUUUGGCGGGGGAUAACGUUCCGAAAGGAGCGCUAAUACCGCAUAAGACCACGGAGUCUCCGGACGCUGUGGGAAAAGGUGGCCUCUUCUUGAAAGCUACCACCGAAGGAUGAGCCUGCGUCCCAUCAGCUAGUUGGUAAGGUAAUGGCUUACCAAGGCGAAGACGGGUAGCUGGUUUGAGAGAAUGAUCAGCCACACUGGCACUGGAACACGGGCCAGACUCCUACGGGAGGCAGCAGUGAGGAAUAUUGGGCAAUGGGCGAAAGCCUGACCCAGCCACGCCGCGUGAGUGAUGAAGGCCCUCGGGUCGUAAAGCUCUGUGGAGAGGGACGAAAACCCUGGUUUCAAAUAGGCUCCAGGCUUGACGGUACCUCUUUAGCAAGCACCGGCUAACUCUGUGCCAGCA
rnacentral:rRNA from 1 species